GGCAUUAACUGACGCUGAGGAGCGAAAGCAUGGGGAGCGAACAGGAUUAGAUACCCUGGUAGUCCAUGCCGUAAACGUUGGGCACUAGGUGUGGGGGACAUUCCACGUUUUCCGCGCCGUAGCUAACGCAUUAAGUGCCCCGCCUGGGGAGUACGGCCGCAAGGCUAAAACUCAAAGGAAUUGACGGGGGCCCGCACAAGCGGCGGAGCAUGCGGAUUAAUUCGAUGCAACGCGAAGAACCUUACCAAGGCUUGACAUGAACCGGAAAGACCUGGAAACAGGUGCCCCGCUUGCGGUCGGUUUACAGGUGGUGCAUGGUUGUCGUCAGCUCGUGUCGUGAGAUGUUGGGUUAAGUCCCGCAACGAGCGCAACCCUCGUUCUAUGUUGCCAGCACGUGAUGGUGGGGACUCAUAGGAGACUGCCGGGGUCAACUCGGAGGAAGGUGGGGACGACGUCAAAUCAUCAUGCCCCUUAUGUCUUGGGCUUCACGCAUGCUACAAUGGCCGGUACAAAGGGUUGCGAUACUGUGAGGUGGAGCUAAUCCCAAAAAGCCGGUCUCAGUUCGGAUUGGGGUCUGCAACUCGACCCCAUGAAGUCGGAGUCGCUAGUAAUCGCAGAUCAGCAACGCUGCGGUGAAUACGUUCCCGGGCCUUGUACACACCGCCCGUCAAGUCACGAAAGUUGGUAACACCCGAAGCCGG
rnacentral:rRNA from 1 species